rnacentral:rRNA from 1 species
GCCAGCCCGCUCAAGAAACUCAAAUGAAUUGACGGGGGCCCGCACAAGCGGUGGAGUAUGUGGUUUAAUUCGAUGCAACGCGAAGAACCUUACCUGGUCUUGACAUCCCGGAGACCCUUAGGAAACUAGGGGGUGCUUCCAUCUGGAAGAAUCUGGAGACAGGUGCUGCAUGGCUGUCGUCAGCUCGUGUCGUGAGAUGUUGGGUUAAGUCCCGCAACGAGCGCAACCCUUGCCUUUAGUUGCCAGCAGUUCGGCUGGGCACUCUAAAGGGACUGCCGGUGUUAAACCGGAGGAAGGUGGGGAUGACGUCAAGUCCUCAUGGCCUUUAUGACCAGGGCUACACACGUACUACAAUGGCCGAUACAAAGGGCAGCGACACUGCGAGGUGAAGCCAAUCCCGUAAAAUCGGUCUCAGUCCGGAUUGGAGUCUGCAACUCGACUCCAUGAAGUUGGAAUCGCUAGUAAUCGUGGAUCAGCAUGCCACGGUGAAUACGUUCCCGGGCCUU